UGGGGAGUAUUGGACAAUGGGGGCAACCCUGAUCCAGCAAUGCCGCGUGGGUGAUGAAGGCCUUCGGGUUGUAAAGCCCUUUCGGCGGGGACGAUGAUGACGGUACCCGCAGAAGAAGCCCCGGCUAACUUCGUGCCAGCAGCCGCGGUAAUACGAAGGGGGCUAGCGUUGUUCGGAAUGACUGGGCGUAAAGGGCGCGUAGGCGGCCGAGUAAGUCAGGCGUGAAAGCCCCGGGCUCAACCUGGGAACGGCGCUUGAUACUGUUUGGCUUGAGGACGGGAGAGGAUGGUGGAAUUCCCAGUGUAGAGGUGAAAUUCGUAGAUAUUGGGAAGAACACCGGUGGCGAAGGCGGCCAUCUGGACCGUUUCUGACGCUGAGGCGCGAAAGCGUGGGGAGCAAACAGG
rnacentral:rRNA from 1 species